rnacentral:rRNA from 1 species
UCGAUUGUCCCAGCCGCCGCGGUAAUACGGAGGGUGCAAGCGUUAAUCGGAAUUACUGAGCGUAAAGCGCACGCAGGCGGUCUGUCAAGUCGGAUGUGAAAUCCCCGGGCUCAACCUGGGAACUGCAUUCGAAACUGGCAGGCUAGAGUCUUGUAGAGGGGGGUAGAAUUCCAGGUGUAGCGGUGAAAUGCGUAGAGAUCUGGAGGAAUACCGGUGGCGAAGGCGGCCCCCUGGACAAAGACUGACGCUCAGGUGCGAAAGCGUGGGGAGCAAACAGGAUUAGAUACCCUGGUAGUCCACGCCGUAAACGAUGUCGAUUUGGAGGUUGUGCCCUUGAGGCGUGGCUUCCGGAGCUAACGCGUUAAAUCGACCGCCUGGGGAGUACGGCCGCAAGGUUAAAACUCAAAUGAAUUGACGGGGGCCCGCACAAGCGGUGGAGCAUGUGGUUUAAUUCGAUGCAACGCGAAGAACCUUACCUGGUCUUGACAUCCACAGAACUUUCCAGAGAUGGAUUGGUGCCUUCGGGAACUGUGAGACAGGUGCUGCAUGGCUGUCGUCAGCUCGUGUUGUGAAAUGUUGGGUUAAGUCCCGCAACGAGCGCAACCCUUAUCCUUUGUUGCCAGCGGUUAGGCCGGGAACUCAAAGGAGACUGCCAGUGAUAAACUGGAGGAAGGUGGGGAUGACGUCAAGUCAUCAUGGCCCUUACGACCAGGGCUAUACACGUGCUACAAUGGCAUAUACAAAGAGAAGCGACCUCGCGAGAGCAAGCGGACCUCAUAAAGUAUGUCGUAGUCCGGAUUGGAGUCUGCAACUCGACUCCAUGAAGUCGGAAUCGCUAGUAAUCGUAGAUCAGAAUGCUACGGUGAAUACGUUCCCGGGCCUUGUACACACCGCCCGUCACACCAUGGGAGUGGGUUGCAAAAGAAGUAGGUAGCUUAACCUUCGGGAGGGCGCUUACCACUUUGUGAUUCAUGACUGGGGUGAAGUCGUAACAAGGUAACC